UAGUUGCUUCCUGGGGGUAAAUCUCAGGGAGGUGCUGGGAGCGGCUUGUGUGCAUUUUGGAGGAUGACAAAGGAAAGAGCUUAAUGGGGAAGAAGGAAUGCAAAAUGCAGUUUGUGAGCAUCCCCGAAGGAGGUGCAAGGAAGAAGUUCUCCCCUUCUCUUCUCCCACUUGUCCUCCUGGCUGCAAGACGGAGCAAUUGGGAGUCCUGGAGACUUGGAUUCCCAAGCUGUCGUUCCCUGUGGCGAUGCAGAGCUUCCAGAUGCAGCUGUCCUGGUUUGGAGAAACAAAGGGACGUAUUUAAGUCAAAUACUGAAGAGCAUCCUCUAAAUUCAAGACUGCUGCUGCAUCUUAUUUCGGACCAUUGAAGAGUUGAGAUAGUUGAGCGAGUCUAUGAGAACUUUAGUUCAACAGCACCAUCUUGUGGCAUGUUCUGGUCAACCUCUUUUGGGGGUUUGUUUAUUAUGCUACACAUAUGUUGGUCUUGAAGCCAGAACCCUAACUCCUCCUCCUCCUCCUCUGUGGCUUACAUAAGACGAUGAAUAAACACCCAUUUUUCCUGAAGAUCAUUGGAAUUUCCAGUUCCAGCUUUCUUGGGAAGCAACACAAAUGAUGUAGAAUUUGGACCAUUUAGAAUCAGCUGGUGAAGUUAUCCAGAGUCACAAAGGGACUGAGUUUGAGUGGGUGUUGGGUUUUUGUUUUGGUAAAUAUCUACUUAAAAACAAAAACAAAAAAUCUGUGGUUUUACGUAACCUGGUUGGUUUUUUCUCAAAGUGUUUGCAGAUAUUCUGUUUUAGCUGCAUGCAUCUCACUAAAAUCCUCCAAGACAAGUUGUUCUGAUUAAAUCAUU